rnacentral:rRNA from 1 species
GCAGUCGACGCCCCGCAGGGGAGUGGCAGACGGGUGAGUAACGCGUGGGAAUCUACCUAGUUCUACGGAACAACUGAGGGAAACUUCAGCUAAUACCGUAUACGCCCUACGGGGGAAAGAUUUAUCGGAAUUAGAUGAGCCCGCGUAAGAUUAGCUAGUUGGUGGGGUAAUGGCCUACCAAGGCGACGAUCUUUAGCUGGUCUGAGAGGAUGAUCAGCCACACUGGGACUGAGACACGGCCCAGACUCCUACGGGAGGCAGCAGUGGGGAAUAUUGGACAAUGGGCGCAAGCCUGAUCCAGCCAUGCCGCGUGAGUGAUGAAGGCCUUAGGGUUGUAAAGCUCUUUCAGUGGGGACGAUAGUGACGGUACCCACAGAAGAAGCCCCGGCCAACUUCGUGCCAGCAGCCGCGGUAAUACGAAGGGGGCUAGCGUUGUUCGGAUUUACUGGGCGUAAAGCGCACGUAGGCGGAUCGUUAAGUCGGGGGUGAAAUCCUGGAGCUCAUCUCCAGAACUGCCUUCAA